rnacentral:lncRNA from 1 species
ACUGGAAUAUAGAUUGCAUGAAAGAAGAUUUAAUGUAUUGCAGAACAGAAAUUAAAAUUGCAGAAUAAAUACAACUUUCUACCCAAAUAAACUCUCAAAAAUUAAAACUCAAAAUAAAAUCUAAAAUAAAACUAAAAAUAAGAACAACAUGCUCUGAAACUCAAAACAUAACUUCUCAAUUAAAACUUUCAAUUAAAAUAA